rnacentral:lncRNA from 1 species
UUGAGAGAAGGUUAUAGGACACCAUUUUAAAAAUUCUAAUAGAUACUAGUACAAGCCAGUUGAAAGUAAGCUAUUGUGAAUGUGAAUUUCCAUCUUUUUCUUUACAUGUUGAUUGAUGGAGUUUGAAGAUGAAAUCCCAAACAAACAAAGGAGUAUCAAAAUGUUCUGAUUCCACUAUGUCAUCAUCAGAUCACUGGCAAAUAUCCAGUCACUGUUCCAAAGUACUAUUGAGUGCCAGCUGACUUUAUAGAAUGUGAAAAAAUAAAGCAACUCUUAUAGUCAAAUGUAAUUUCUUAGCCACCAUAAGCAUGACAGAAAACUAUUCUUUUAAUCAUUGAAAAACUCUUGAUCAAUGAGCCCUAAAGACAUUGAUCCAAUCCAGUGCUAAAUCCUCCUACAGGAAAAUGUGAACAUGAGAUUUUUCCAAUAAGGGUCCACUGGAAAAAAAAUAAUAGUAAUAGUUCAUGAAGCGCUAGUAGCAGAAAGCUAACACUGUCGAGUUUUUCUCAACAUACAUGGUAUGUAACUCUGUCUCCCCUCAGUGAACCCAUUCAGACAUGGCCUCAACAGAAAUUUGUGGAAGUAUAUUUCCACCUAGGCAUCACUGAAAAGCUAGUACUCUUCAUUGUCUAUUUCAGCGCAUCAAAGAUAUAUUACAUUAUUUGACCUAAGCAAUUACUACAUGUUUCAGGAUGUUUUACUGCUGAUAGAUUAUAUAAAGAACACCCUGCAAUUCACUAGGCAGUAUUGGAAAAUGCAUGGGUAUCCACUAUUCUGUGUGUUUAUAGGGAAAACAAUAUAAGAGGUAGCAAGUUCAACUUCAUAUUAGAUAUGCUGGCAUCUUUUUAAAAAUGUUUGGAGGAUUCAGGCUCAUGUUCAUAAUAUAUAGAUACUAAUAUCUCAAGUGAUAAUGAAACAACAUGACUUCCUACAAAUCAGCAACAUAGAAAGAUUAAAAGUUGUAGGAAAUUGGAACUUCCCCAAAAUUCAAAAGUCAAAGAUAAACCAGUUCCUCCAGUGUUCCUGGCUUAAUAGAGUGGCUUUAUAUAACAACUGCUCAACAGAAAAACAAACUCAAUGCAUUAAAUCUCAACAACUGCAGUUUUCUGGCUUUACCAUCUUGCUGGGUAUACUUCUCAAAAGACAAAGCCUAAACUUCAUCUCAAAGCAAGGUGGUCUUUCUGAUCACGUUGAAAUAUUCUAUCAAAGAGCAAAAAGCUUUUGAAGGCUGCAGUAAGUUUUAAAAGUAAAAGAGUGAACAACCUGGUACUAUCCAUUAUUGUUUUAAUGUAGGGCAAGCAGGUAACUCUUGCUGCUGGUGGGCAUGAAGAAAAGAUCAUUUUUAAUCCUUUGUUUCAAAGAAUGUAUAAGAAUGCCAUUUAUUACAAUAGCCAUGAUAAAAGGAAAGUGGUCCUCCAGUAAGAACUGGUCAUCUCUUUGACUGAAUCAUUUUCAAUAUUCUUGAAUAUUGUGUCAUGCUGAAAAUACAGAUCAUGUGGGUUAUCCACGCUGUGGUAUAAAAGCAAGAAAUCUGUAAUAGAGACAGGCCAGCUGUAGACCUAAAUCAGCUGUCUCUCAAUGAUAUUAAGCAUCUUCUGUGGGAUAUUCGCCAGGUUUAACUGAAUGGGAGAUGGUGGGUGAACAAGCACCAAAUAGGUGAGUCUUUGACUAUAACCCCCUCUGGGCUCUAUGGCCAAGUGUGGCAGAUCCCAGAGUGAACACACAAUGAUAAUGUUGUAGCUGGGGAUCAUUUGCCACAGCAAACAACCCUGUCGUAUUUGACAAUGUUUGAGAUAAAUUUCUCUCCCUUUAUUGAAAUAUGUUGAGAAAGACUGACCAGUUUAAGGACACACAGAACAUUGUGUAAUUCCUAAAGGUUGUAUCCUUUGUACUGGAAAGAAACCCUGAGCUAGAAUUUCAAGAAAAAGUGAAUCUAGACAAAAUGACAAAA